rnacentral:rRNA from 1 species
GAUGAACGCUAGCGAUAGGCCUAACACAUGCAAGUCGAGGGGCAUCACAUGAAGUAGCAAUACGGAUGGUGGCGACCGGCGCACGGGUGAGUAACACGUAUGCAACCUGCCUUCAACAAGGGGAUAACCCGUUGAAAGACGGACUAAUACCCUAUAAUACAGGGGUCCCGCAUGGGGAUAUUUGUUAAAGAUUGAUCGGUUGAAGAUGGGCAUGCGUUCCAUUAGCUGGUUGGUGAGGUAACGGCUCACCAAGGCAACGAUGGAUAGGGGAACUGAGAGGUUUAUCCCCCACACUGGUACUGAGACACGGACCAGACUCCUACGGGAGGCAGCAGUGAGGAAUAUUGGUCAAUGGACGCAAGUCUGAACCAGCCAUGCCGCGUGAAGGAUGAAGGCGUUCUGCGUUGUAAACUUCUUUUAUCUGGGAAGAAACCACAGAUUUUCUAUUUUGUGUUGACGGUACCAGAUGAAUAAGCACCGGCU